rnacentral:rRNA from 1 species
UACGUAGGGCGCAAGCGUUGUCCGGAAUUAUUGGGCGUAAAGAGCUCGUAGGCGGUCUGUCGCGUCGGAUGUGAAAGCCCGGGGCUUAACCCCGGGUCUGCAUUCGAUACGGGCAGACUAGAGUGUGGUAGGGGAGACUGGAAUUCCUGGUGUAGCGGUGAAAUGCGCAGAUAUCAGGAGGAACACCGGUGGCGAAGGCGGGUCUCUGGGCCGAUAUUGACGCUGAGGAGCGAAAGCGUGGGGAGCGAACAGG